UCCCCAAUCCGCAGCCGCCUCUCCUCUCCAACCGCCCGCUCCUUCUUCCCUCGUCUCCUCUCCCCCAGUUCUUCUCUCGUUUUUCCUCGAUCAGUGACUACUCGCGGUGGAAUGAGGGCUCCUACGACGGCGGCUCACGCACGGCGGAGGAGCUGGGUCUAAGUCCACAAGAUGUGGCUGAGAGGGCCGACGGAGGUGGGGACGGGGAGAAGAUGCAGAAGGACGAUGGCACACAGGGGCUGUGCUCUUCCAGGCUGGGAGGAGAGGAUGCGGGAAGGGGUGAGGGCGCACCACCUGCCGCCCAGCGGCGCCGAUGUGGAGGAGCAGCGAGGGGCGGCUCUGGGGGCAGUGCUAGGUGGUGGAGGUGUUUGUGGCAGCGCCUAGCCUAGAGAAGGAGGCCAUGGGAGGCUCGGUUGGGUUGGGGGAAUUGGCCUGGGUGGGGGAGACAGGGAAAGAAAGAAGAGAGCAGGGGAUGGAAGCCUCAGCUCGAACGUAAUGAGAGCCGUCGGUAGUGAAACCGUCCUCCUCCGCCGUCCUACCUCUGGCGACCUUGCCGCAGAUUAAAUAUUAGAUCUGCUUCUCAAAAGGAUGUGGUUCAGCCUGUUGUCUUUCGCCAGGUCUGAUACAACAUCAAGUGGAGAUUCUCACAGAGAGCAGAUAGUUCCAUUUCCUCAGAAGCCUGCUACUACAUCCUUGAGAAUUGAUCAAUUUGUGCGCUCAUAUAUUUUGAAACGAUGUGCAAGAGCUUCUUGGUAGAACUGGAUCUAUUUGCAGAUUUUGGAUGGAUCAUAUCAAGACCCGCUGCUAUGUUGUCGUUAACUUCGUUAUAGAUGCGCAGUUGGAUUUUCUUUUUCUUCCAAUUCAGUUCAUCUACUCAUUCGGUUAAAUAUGACGCCAGCGCGCAGGAUAUUAAACUGCAACUCCUUAUGAUUUUCUUUUAAAUGUAAAAUUGCAUACAUUUUUCUUGGUGAAUCUUCAUGCACGCCAAGCCAUGCACCUGUUUUGCCAUGAAAUAUGGUCUCAUUGUUACUUAAAAACAUAUUUCGAGUCAGUUUCUUUGUGCAUUGCUUUGAGGUGGCAUAUCCAAGCCUCUUAUAUGUACAACGCUCCCUAUUGUUAGUGCAUAUAGUACUUGUGAACAUAGUUUAAACUAUUAUGCUUCUUGGAGAGAGCUUUUUUAAUUCAUGGUUGACUGUUAGACCAUUAGACCUUUUUCCUUAUAUUCUGUUCUGGAUAUUAAAUGUUAGGUAAAUUAGUACAAUAAGCUAUUUUGGCUUGCAUCGAUUUUUCUUCUAAUUGCUCCUUUUCUGAAUUGACAACUUAAUUAACUUAAAUUUUACUUUUCUCCUGUGUUGUUUUAAUAUUUCCAAAGGUUAUUACUUCGCGUGGAAAUUUCUCGAUAAAAUGAAUUUAUACAGAGUUCUCUUUAGCUGUUGCUUGUUGUUCCCAUUCUGUCGAGGCAUAUCUCCCCUGAAAAUGUUUCCAUGAUGAUUUUGUAUGUGAGUCAAUUAGAUUAUUUUCUCUGAUUUUGGUUUCGUAGGACAAACCGAGAAGUGUGGUUAAACUUUAACCUCACCCUGUACUGAAAUUGUUCUUUACUACAACAAUAUAGGUAAUUAGGUAUUAAACUACAACUCCUUAUGAUUUUCUUUUAAACCGUCCUCCUCCGCCGUCCUACCUCUGGCGACCUUGCCGUCUCGAAAGGAUCGCAGGUAUGGAAAUCCUCCUCUUCUCUGAUGCAUAUACAAUGUCUAUUGCGUGUGGUUUUUUAAUUAAGAUACGGGUUUGUUAAUUUCUAGAUUAAAUAUUAGAUCUGAUUCUCAAAAGGAUGUGGUUCAGCCUGUUGUCUUUCGCCAGGUCUGAUACAACAGCAAGUGGAGAUUCUCACAGAGAGCAGAUAGGUGAGAUUUCUCUGCUCUUUUAGUUAAGUAAAUAAACUUCACAUCGCUAUCUAAUUCCCUUCUUCUGUGUUCAUAUUCAGUUCCAUUUCCUCAGAAGCCUGCUACUACAUCCUUGAGAAUUGAUCAAUUUGUGCGCUCAUAUAUUUUGAAACGAUGUGCAAGAGCUUCUUGGUAGAACUGGAUCUAUUUGCAAAUUUUGGAUGGAUCAUAUCAAGACCCGCUGCUAUGUUGUCGUUAACUUCGUUAUAGAUGCGCAGUUGGAUUUUCUUUUUCUUCCAAUUCAGUUCAUCUACUCAUUCGGUUAAAUAUGACGCCAGCGUGCAGGAUAUUAAACUACAACUCCUUAUGAUUUUCUUUUAAAUGUAAAAUUGCAUACAUUUUUCUUGGUGAAUCUUCAUGCACGCCAAGCCAUGCACCUGUUUUGCCGUGAAAUAUGGUCUCAUUGUUACUUAAAAACAUAUUUCAAGUCAGUUUCUUUGUGCAUUGCUUUGAGGUGGCAUAUCCAAGCCUCUUAUAUGUACAACGCUCCCUAUUUUUGUUAGUGCAUAUAGUACUUGUGAACAUAGUUUAAACUAUUAUGCUUCUUGGAGAGAGCUUUUUUAAUUCAUGGUUGGCUGUUGAACACAGUUUAGACCAUUAGACCUUUUUCCUUAUCUUCUGUUCUGGAUAUUAAAUGUUACUCCCUUCGGUUCAUAUUAAUUGACUCUAAUAUGGAUGUAUCUAGAACUAAAAUAUGUCUAGAUACUCCAUAUUGAAGUCAAUUAAUAUGAAUCGGAGGUAGUAGGUAAAUUAGUACAAUAAGGUAUUUUGGCUUGCAUCGUUUUUUCUUCUAAUUGCUCCUUUUCUGAAUUGACAACUUAAUUAACUUAAAUUUGACUUUUCUCCUGUGUUGUUUUAAUAUUUCCAAAGGUUAUUACUUCGCGUGGAAAUUUCUCGAUAAGAUGAAUUUAUACAGAGUUCUCUUUAGCUGUUGCUUGUUGUUCCCAUUCUGUCGAGGCAUAUCUCCCCUGAAAAUGUUCCCAUGAUGAUUUUGUAUGUGAGUCAAAUAGAUUAUUUUGUCUGAUUUUGGUUUCGUAGGACAAACCGAGAAGUGUGGUUAAACUUUAACCUCACCCUGUACUGAAAUUGUUCUUUACUACAACAAUAUAGGUAAUUAGGUAUUAAACUACAACUCCUUAUGAUUUUCUUUUAAAUGUAAACUUGCAUACAUUUUUCUUGGUGAAUCUUCAUGCACCUGUUUUGCCGUGAAAUAUGGUCUCAUUGUUACUUAAAAACAUAUUUCAAAGAGUUUGAUAUUUCGUUACCAUGUAACAUGUUGGGUUACCUCUGCUGCACUUUGACAUUAUGGACUGUGUAAUGAAAUGUGCUUUCAGGCGCUAAGAUGGCCUCAGGGAGAUGUUAAGAAGAACCGAGAUGUUGAUGGAAGCUGGAAGGUGCUUUGCUUGGACAAACAUUCCAGUUUGCUGGACUUGAACCUGAUGAAGCUGAACCCCUUGAAAGGGGAACUUCUCCGCCCUUAUGAAGAAAUGGCGUCAGGAGCUGACCUGUGAAGCUUUAGUGAGAUGAUCGGCAAUACCUUGUGGCUUUGUAGGCUUAUUCCUGUAGCUACCGGAAAGUGUUGUUCCCUCUCGGCUGUUCCCAUUUUCAUUUUUCUGCUUUGUUACUAUAACGUGAUGAUGUGACUGCUUUUUUGGUUGCAUAUUAUUGGAACCCAGGGAGAAACCCUUUCAUCCGAAAGCUUCAACUAUUCCAUAAGAGCUUCGACCGGAUCUGAUCACCUUACAGCUAUAUACAAUGUUGUUCCCUGCAAGCCAAUAUUACUGG